rnacentral:rRNA from 1 species
UACGGGGGGAGCAAGCGUUGUUCGGAUUUACUGGGCGUAAAGGGCGCGUAGGCGGCCACCGCAAGUCGACUGUGAAAUCUCCGGGCUUAACCCGGAAAGGUCAACCGAUACUGCGGGGCUAGAGUGCAGAAGGGGCAACUGGAAUUCUCGGUGUAGCGGUGAAAUGCGUAGAUAUCGAGAGGAACACCUGCGGCGAAGGCGGGUUGCUGGGCUGACACUGACGCUGAUGUGCGAAAGCUAGGGGAGCGAACGGG